ensembl:lncRNA
AAUUAUCGCUCACAAAAUUUAAAUCUGUUUUACACUAGAAUAAUCUUAUUGGAAUUUGUUAUGCAAGACAAUACAAUUCGGUAUUUUGUUGUUGUUGUUGUUUUUGUAAUACUGUGUAUUACAAGGUAAUUACAUAUUUGUUAUGUUUUUUUUACAUAACUUGACUCCUGGCACACCAAUGGCCAAGGGUUCUUUAGAAAGGUGAUGAAGAAUAUUCACACACACACACACCAUACCUGUGAGGUCACAGUUCAAAGUUGAAAGUUCAUCUUGGUCCGUCAACUGUACUGUAAUAUCUAUGUUCACAUACAAUAUAUCAUUCGACUUAGAUGUAGUCGACAUUAUCAUCCAAUGCGGAAAUAUAAUCUGUUGUAUUUGUAUUGCCAUAUCACAGGGUAAAUAAUCAAUUUUAACAAGAACAAGCGUCCCCAAAGCCAUACAUUACAAUAUAUAUGCAUGUGUAUGUAUAUAUAUAUAUAGUUUCGGAAAAAAUUAAGAGACCACUGCACUGUUUUCUUUCCUUUCCAAGCAAGUUGUAAAGGGAAAUUUUGAGUCAGGAACAGAAGCGUGUCUUAAUUUUAACCCUUCUGUUCCUCACUCAAAACCUUCCAUUUCAACUUUUUGGUGAAGGAAAGAAAAAUGUGCAGUGGUCUCUUAAUUUUAUCCGGAGCUGUAUGUGUAUAUAUAAAUACACGUGCGCACACACAAACACCGUAGCAGUCAAGAGUUUGGACACACCUUCUCAUUCAAGAGUAUUUCUUUAAUUUUACUAUUUACCACAUUGUAGAAUAAUAGUAAAAACUAUGAAACUACACACGUGGAACCAUUUAGUAACCAAAAAAGUGUUAAACAAAUCAAAAUCAAAAUCCAUUUCCAUUUUAAUUUAAGCAGUCCAUUGACUUGAUAACAGCUUCUCACCCUCUUGGAAUUCUCUCAACCAGCUUUACGAGGUAGUGACCUGGAAGGCUUUUCCAACAGCCUUGAAGGAAUCGUCGUAUAUGCUGAGCACUCUGUGACCCAACUCAUUAGGGGGUGAGGAGGGGUGGUUGUGGAGGCCAGGUCAUCUGAUGCAGCAUCAUCAAUCACCUUCUUGGUCAAAUAUCCCUUACACAGACAGAGGUGUGUUUUGGUCAAAUAUCCCUUAAACAGACAGAGGUGUGUUUGGUCAAAUAUCCCUUAAACAGAUGGAGGUGUGUUUUGGUCAAAUAUCCCUUAAACAGAUGGAGGUGUGUUUUGGUCAAAUAUCCCUUACACAGAUGGAGGUGUGUUUUGGUCAAAUAUCCCUUACACAGAUGGAGGUGUGUUUUGGUCAAAUAUCCCUUACACAGAUGGAGGUGUGUUUUGGUCAAAUAUCCCUUAAACAGAUGGAGGUGUGUUUUGGUCAAAUAUCCCUUAAACAGAUGGAGGUGUGUUUUGGUCAAAUAUCCCUUAAACAGAUGGAGGUGUGUUUUGGUCAAAUAUCCCUUAAACAGAUUGAGGUGUGUUUGGUCAAAUAUCCCUUAAACAGAUGGAGGUGUGUUUUGGUCAAAUAUCCCUUACACAGAUGGAGGUGUGUUUUGGUCAAAUAUCCCUUACACAGAUGGAGGUGUGUUUUGGUCAAAUAUCCCUUCCACAGACAGAGGUGUGUUUUGCAGAGAUCAUCACAUGCAGACAUCAUAGGUUCACCUGCGCCGCGUUUCACAAAGAUGUGGCUGUUGUAACCAAAAAUCUUCAAUUUAGACUCAUCAGACCGAACAGAUUUUACUGGCAGUCUACUGGCAACUUCUUGUGCUUAUAGGCCCAAGCAAGUUGCUUCUUAUUAGUUGUGUCCUUCAGUAGUGGUUUCUUUGCAGCAAUUCGUCCAUAAAGUUGUUGAGAUGUGUCAGUUACUUGAAGUCUGUUAAGCAUUUAUAUGGGCUGCAAUCUGAGGUGCAUUUAAUUGCCGAUUUCUGAGGCUGGUGACUCUAAUGAACUCAUCCUCUGCAGCAGAUGUAACUCUGGGUUUCCUUGCCUGUGGCAGUCCUCAUGAGAGACAGUUUCAUCAUAGCGCUUGUUGGUUUUUGCAACUGAAGAUUCUUGAAAUUUCUAGGAUUGACCGACCUACAUGUCUUAAAUAAUGAUGGGCUGUUGUUUCUCUUAGUUUAUUUGAGCUGUUCUUGAUAUAAUAUGGAUUACUACAGUACAGACAGAAUGGUGGUCUGUGUACCAACCCAACCUUGUCACAACACAAAUUAUUGGGUCAAAAACAUUAAGGAAAUAAAUUCCACAAAUGAACUUUUAACGAGCCACACCUGUAAUUUGAAAUGCAUUCCAGAUGACUACCUCAUGAAGUUGGUUGACAGAAUGCAAAGAGUGCAAAGCUGUCAUCAAGGCAAAGGGUGGCUACUUUAAAGAAUCUACAUGAAAUGUGUUUUGAUCUGUUAAACACUUUUUUUGGAACACAACCAAUGUGUAUGUUUAUAUGUAUACCUAUAUGUGUAUAUAUAUAUACAUAUAUGUGCAUAAGUGUGUGUGUAUGACUCUUGGCAUGCCCAAUCAACUCAAAUAUGGCCGAAGGUUCCACUUGAAAUCAUUCAAUUUGUUUUGCGCAGUUUGUUUCUGGGUGUAUUUCAUUCCAAUACCCACAAUCCACUGUGCCACGCUCCAAGAGGGUGCCUUUCAGUAAUCUACCUUUGCCUCUUCUUAAGGUCUCCUUUCCCUCAUUCACACUGAUCUGAGUGAACAGGGCAGGUGAAAAGCUAGGCCUGCAUCACACUACUUUAACCAAUCAAAUUUUGUCCGAUAAGUGCAAAUGAAAGAGUGGAGACAAAGGGCUCAAUUCAGACUUGGGAUAAAUUUACUUAAUAUGAACUUAGUCUAUUAAAAUGGGGAUUUAAGUGAAACAAUAUGUGUUCUUUAUCUCAAGUCCAUUUACCUGAAGUCUGAAUAGGACCCACUGGAAGACUGCAGAUGAAUGAAGCACCCCUGAUAUGACUUCCUCUACCUUAGGACCACACAGACUACCUUAGGACCACACAACGACUUCAAAGCCAUGACAAGGGGUUAAUCGAUUAUCUGUGAUUUCAUUUUUUAUUUUUUUGUCUUGAUACUUUCUAGAUUCAAAAUAAUAAAAUGUAUAAAUGGAG